AGAAGUAAAAGUCGUAACAAGGUUUCCGUAGGUGAACCUGCGGAAGGAUCAUUACAGAGUUCAUGCCCUCACGGGUAGAUCUCCCACCCUUGAAUAUUUAUACCUUAGUUGCUUUGGCAGGCCGUGGAAACACCAUGGGCUCCGGCUUAUGCGUGCCUGCCAGAGGAAACAAACUCUGUUUUUAGUGAUGUCUGAGUACUAUAUAAUAGUUAAAACUUUCAACAACGGAUCUCUUGGUUCUG
rnacentral:misc_RNA from 1 species